rnacentral:rRNA from 1 species
AUUGAACGCUGGCGGCAGGCCUAACACAUGCAAGUCGAGCGGAUGAAGGGAGCUUGCUCCUGGAUUCAGCGGCGGACGGGUGAGUAAUGCCUAGGAAUCUGCCUGGUAGUGGGGGAUAACGUCCGGAAACGGGCGCUAAUACCGCAUACGUCCUGAGGGAGAAAGUGGGGGAUCUUCGGACCUCACGCUAUCAGAUGAGCCUAGGUCGGAUUAGCUAGUUGGUGGGGUAAAGGCCUACCAAGGCGACGAUCCGUAACUGGUCUGAGAGGAUGAUCAGUCACCCUGGAACUGAGACGCGGUCCAGACUCCUACGGGAGGCAGCAGUGGGGAAUAUUGGACAAUGGGCGAAAGCCUGAUCCAGCCAUGCCGCGUGUGUGAAGAAGGUCUUCGGAUUGUAAAGCACUUUAAGUUGGGAGGAAGGGCAGUAAGUUAAUACCUUGCUGUUUUGACGUUACCAACAGAAUAAGCACCGGCUAACUUCGUG